rnacentral:rRNA from 1 species
CACGUAGGGCGCAAGCGUUAUCCGGAUUCACUGGGUUUAAAGGGUGCGUAGGCGGGUUGGUAAGUCCGUGGUGAAAUCUCCAAGCUUAACUUGGAAACUGCCGUGGAUACUAUCAAUCUUGAAUAUCGUGGAGGUAAGCGGAAUAUGUCAUGUAGCGGUGAAAUGCUUAGAUAUGACAUAGAACACCAAUUGCGUAGGCAGCUUACUACACGAUCAUUGACGCUGAGGCACGAAAGCGUGGGGAUCAAACAGG